GUAGAUUGGGAUACUCUUCAAACUAAAUGAAAUGCCGAGACCGGUAUCUGCGCCAAUGGCGGGCCUCGACCUCUUUCAGAGGUGCUUCGCGCCGGAGGAUUACAAAGGUGCAGAUGCUCUCAAAUCCUGUAUUUUUCGGAGUUUCAUCACAUCCUUUGGCGUGGUUUUUU
rnacentral:sRNA from 1 species